UAAAAACCACUCAACGUUUCUGCGUCUGGAAAUAACAUAACAAAUGGCAGAUCAAUCUGGCAACUAUCAACAUGUGCCAAGAAGCCUCGAGGUGCUAGGCCAGAAACAAAAACUGCCCCCUCAAUGCUAUCCACAAGACAAUUAAGGAACACUUAUUUAACAGCUACUUUUAAUGUUUUUUAUACAAGCAAAAACACUUUUAUUGAGACAAAUGGGCAAAUGCACAUUCUUACAACUUAGAUUGUCUACUUUAUUGAAUACAAGAGUAUCAAUCAGAAAAUUGUCACUGCUUUAUAAAACUAAUAAAAUAAUAUCUGGGCAUAUUAGAAAAGCAGGUAGUUAGAAACCUACCAAUUUGUAAAUGAAGAGGGAUAUCACUAAGCUUAUUAAAUUACAGCUUAGAUUAUUUUAAAUUUAGUGUGGGCAAAGAUCUUCUAGAUAUGUGCUGUCCAAUAUGCUAGCCACUAGCUAGAUGCAGCUACUUAAAUAUAAGUUAAUUAAAAUUAAAUAAAAUUAAAAAUUCGUUUCUCAGGUGCAUAAGCCACCUGUCAAGUGCGCAACAGUCACAUGUGGCUAUACGCUACCUCACUGGAUAGCACAGACUAGAACACUUCCAUCAUCACAGAAAGUUCUACUAGCAGUGAUUAGAUCCUCAAUUUUCCUUUUGACUUUUUUCAGGAGGGCCAAUGGAAAGAGCAACUUGGAAGAUGUGAGUCACUAACCAGCUGAGCAACUAUGUCUCUAUCUCUUAGCAGUGCUUCUAGAAAUGAAUGUGCACUUCAAUCACACGAGAAUUGUGUUAAAACACAGGUUCUAAUUCAGUAGGUCUUGAGAUGGGGUCAAGCUUCUGCACGUCUAACAAACUCCCAGGUGAUGCUAAUAUUGCUGGUCUAGAAAUCACACUUUGAGCACCAACGUCUCAUCUCUCUGGGCCUGUUUCCUGAGCGGUCAAAUGAUGUACCUGGGGCAAGAUAAUGCCCAUGACCCCUCUGUAAACACUAGCAUUUUACAGUUUAUGGUUGUACAGAAUUAAAUGCACAAGACUUCACACACCCUGCAAAGGCAGACCCUUCCAUGAAGUAAAUGCUAGGAUUCUAACAAUUUUUGUGGUACCAUUUUUUUUCCAUGAAAAGACGUAUCAAAUAUAAAUGAAAAUCAAUGGGAAAAUGUGAUUUGCUAUAUAAACAUUCACUCUCUGUACAACUUUUCAGAAAUGGAUUUAAAAGGCUGACGUGUAUGAAAGACAAAUCUUUUCAAAACUAUCAGAGGGGCACGCUAUAUUUUCCAAAUAUGCAGUUCAUGGAGGAAAAAAUCCAAUGCAAGACUCAGCCCACACCACUGUUACCUUAAAAGCAUCAGCUCCACAUCAAAAGCAACUCCCUGAAAAAAGCCAUUAACUACAAUAACAUCAUUGCUGUUUUUGUAAAGUCUCAGUCAGGGCUCUGAGCAAUAAAACUAACCAAAAUCCCAUACCACUAGCAGGCGGUAGUGUAAUGUAACAGCCCACAAAACAGGCUGAAGGAGCUGACCAGGGCAGCCAAUAAGGCUGCAAACAAUUUACUGUUGGGGCAUCUUCCUUCUUUUUUAACAGGGGCCCUAGGGUAACACACGGUUCAAGUGGGCAACGCAAACAAGGAACUGGAGAGCAGUGGUGAGGCUGACCCCUUCAUAAGGCAACACCUCACAGAAAGGAGACAGGCUAAGAUACCCAGUUUGUUUAUAAAUUCCGAAUUAUGCAUGACAGCUAAUUACCUACAUUCUUUAAAAAAAAAAAAUGCUGAAAACACACAUUCAACCUCUAAGUGACUGGAUGCUUUGAAAAUCUACAAUAGUUUUACAUUUGUAUUUUUCUAUUUUCUUUAGGCGAAAUCUAUUUUAAAGUUUGAAUUAAACUUUAUUCAAGUUCUUCUAUAUAAAUUACGCAAUGCUCUUCCAAAAUCUCUCCAAAGAUUUGACUCACAGUAACGAUACACUUUACUGCCCACAAAAUUCUUCAAAUAAAUCACUCUGGGAAGAUAAAUAGCAUACAAAGAAAAACUAGGGAAUAGGGAGGUUUUUUCUUCUCACUUUUAAAACAAAUUGCUAUUCUCAAUCUUAUUUUAAACCAAUCCGCUAAAUGGUAGCUUUUUUAAAUCAGUUAUCUUGGUACCAAACUUCAACGUAAGUCCUAAAUUUGGAAGUGUACAUUCAGCUGAUCUUAAAAAAAGACUGAUGAAAAACUGUGCCUAUAACAAUAACUAUUUCCAGUUAUCUUUAUCAAAACAAAAUUCAUAUAGAUCAGGAGAAAGCACUAUGUGUAAUUCCAUCAGAGUGAAAUGAUCAUGUUCAGAGCUAUAUCUGAUUAAACAUUUCUGUACCUUUACAACAGUUAAACUAAUUUCUAGAUAUUGUAAGGAUAACUUACAUUACCAGUGAAAACAUAAGGUUAAUUUCUACCCACCUCAUAAAAGGACUAUUUGUCCUUUGUAAAUAAUCCAUAACAAAUCUCUCCCGAUAAUAACCAAAGAACUGUUAGAAUCAAACAUUUAAUUGCAGCAACUGACCAGCAAUUAAUUUUAUCUUUCCUCUCAACAAAUGUUACAAAAUUCCACCUGUAGGAUAUACAAUAUCCUUUUAAAAUGCAAUUUAAGAAGCCAUUACUUUUUUAGAGAAACUGUGGUUUCUCUUGAGAGAGAGAAUUAUAAUGUGGACAGAAACACUUUAGCCUAUCAUUUAAAAAAAAUACAGUGUAUAAAAAAAAAAAAGGGCCACGUAGCAGUCCGUGGGCAGAUGAGUCAUCACCCAACUCAAAACUUGCAGCACUUCUAAGCUUCCUCCUACCUGACCCCAUCCCCUUCAGCAACCUACCCUGAGUCAGCAACCUUUACUAUUUUGUCAGUUAUGAGUUCUCACGACGCUUAAAUUAACUUAUGAAAAACAAUGGAACACUUUCAGAGCUAACACAUGUCAUUAGAACACGUGCUUUUUUCUAUCGUAAAAUUAACUGAUUUUCAAAUCAAUGUUCUCUAGGUUCUUUCUUAAUCACAGAAAGUAACCAAACGCUUCUUUUAAUCCUCUUCUGCAAAUAACUGAUCUCCAAAAUAUGGUCAUAUAUAAAGGUUUUGAUAAACAAUUCUCCAUUUCCCAGAAUUUUUUUCUGAAUAGUAAGAUUUAGGUGACAAAACACGUCCUGGUCAAAUCUGGCAUUUCUCCUAGGUUACCGCAAUUACUGAAUUUAGGACCAAUAAGAAGUUUUACACGUUUCACAAAGCAAUUCUUAUUAAGUGAUGUAACAUAUAUACGUGAAGGGACUUUACACUCCUCAGCACAUAGCAAGCCAUUCAUAAACAUGUUUGAACCACUCAUUAAAGACAUGUAAAGCUUCUUCCACCCAAUUCAAUUUUUUUCCCCAGACAUUAAAAUCUGACAUUUCCAAGAAGAAACUCUAGAGGCAGUUCCCUUUCAGGGCCAGACUCUGUUUGGACCCUACAUUCUUCUAGUCAGUUUACUCUUUCCAUCUCAGUUUCCCAACGUUGAAAAGAGAGGAGGAUACGUCCAAUCACAACUUUAAAAAAUAACAAGGCUAGAUGAAUCAAGCAAUCAGAAAAUUACCCUGAAGCGGGCUGCGCUCCAUUUUAUCCCCUGUUCGUUUUUUAACAAAUCAUCUCGCCUCCGUAAAAAAAAGUUAAUACUGAGACCGACUUAAGGGCAUUUUUAGCACUGAAGGAAAGAACACGAAUUUUGCUGCAAACCCAGUAGGCUUCUAAUUCCAACUCACCAGUUCCCUUCACUGGACCUUUUCCAAUGAGCAAGCAAAAGAGAAAAUAAAACAGGGAAGGAAUAAAAAAGAUCCUGCCUCACAGAGCUCCCACGUAACACCUGAACCAGUCGAGUCUUACUAAGCCAAGGAACAAAAGGCGGCGGGAACACCUUGAUUUUUCAAGGCAGCUCACCCAGUCAGAUAAGAAUGCACAGCCAAGCGAGGAGGCCCUUUUUAGGAAACUGACAAAACAAGUUUUCAUUUGGGUACUUUCACAGACCACCGCUCCACGACCCGAACGCGGCGACGGAGAGGCUGCAGGAGACCGCGAGGAAACAAGGAAUGCCGACUCCGAUGAGUUUUCCCGACCUCGUUUAGGGCUAGACUCGAAACUUGGGCAGAGCACGCCAGGGCGCCGGGCCGGGGAAGCGGCGCGCUGCGCAACGUGCCGAGUCACCGGAGCGGGAUGGGGGAGGAGACGCGGGCGCAGCUCGGAAGGCAGCGCGCCAGGAAGGCGAGACUCCGCGCUCCCUCCCGCUCCCCGGGCCGCCCCUCCCGGCUGCCGCCCCUCGCCCGCCGGCCCGGCCCGGCUUCGAACCCGUGGAGCCGGCGCGGGCGGCUGGGGCGCAGCCGACACGCGGGGCCCCAGGGCUGGCGGGC
ensembl:lncRNA